rnacentral:rRNA from 1 species
UACGAAGGGGGCUAGCGUUGCUCGGAAUCACUGGGCGUAAAGCGCACGUAGGCGGAUUGCUAAGUCAGGGGUGAAAUCCUGGAGCUCAACUCCAGAACUGCCUUUGAUACUGGCGACCUUGAGUCCGGGAGAGGUGAGUGGAACUGCGAGUGUAGAGGUGAAAUUCGUAGAUAUUCGCAAGAACACCAGUGACGAAGGCGGCUCACUGGCCCGGUACUGACGCUGAGGUGCGAAAGCGUGGGGAGCAAACAGG